ACUCCCUCUGUCUCUAAUUAUAAG
rnacentral:miRNA from 1 species